CAUGCAGUCGAACGGUGAUGGUCAGCUUGCUGACCGGAUCAGUGGCGAACGGGUGAGUAACACGUGAGCAACCUGCCCUUCACUCUGGGAUAAGCCUUGGAAACGGGGUCUAAUACUGGAUACGAGACGUACCGGCAUCGGUAGCGUCUGGAAAGAUUUAUCGGUGGGGGAUGGGCUCGCGGCCUAUCAGCUUGUUGGUGGGGUGAUGGCCUACCAAGGCGACGACGGGUAGCCGGCCUGAGAGGGCGACCGGCCACACUGGGACUGAGACACGGCCCAGACUCCUACGGGAGGCAGCAGUGGGGAAUAUUGCACAAUGGGCGCAAGCCUGAUGCAGCGACGCCGCGUGAGGGAUGACGGCCUUCGGGUUGUAAACCUCUUUCAGCAGGGAAGAAGCGCAAGUGACGGUACCUGCAGAAGAAGCGCCGGCUAACUACGUGCCAGCAGCCGCGGUAAUACGUAGGGCGCAAGCGUUGUCCGGAAUUAUUGGGCGUAAAGAGCUCGUAGGCGGUUUGUCGCGUCUGCUGUGAAAACCUCAGGCUCAACCUGGGGCUUGCAGUGGGUACGGGCAGACUAGAGUGCGGUAGGGGUGACUGGAAUUCCUGGUGUAGCGGUGGAAUGCGCAGAUAUCAGGAGGAACACCGAUGGCGAAGGCAGGUCACUGGGCCGCAACUGACGCUGAGGAGCGAAAGCAUGGGGAGCGAACAGGAUUAGAUACCCUGGUAGUCCAUGCCGUAAACGUUGGGCACUAGGUGUGGGGUCCAUUCCACGGAUUCCGUGCCGCAGCA
rnacentral:rRNA from 1 species